AUUGAACGCUGGCGGCAGGCUUAACACAUGCAAGUCGAGCGGAGAUGAGGUGCUUGCACCUUAUCUUAGCGGCGGACGGGUGAGUAAUGCUUAGGAAUCUGCCUAUUAGUGGGGGACAACAUUCCGAAAGGAAUGCUAAUACCGCAUACGCCCUACGGGGGAAAGCAGGGGAUCUUCGGACCUUGCGCUAAUAGAUGAGCCUAAGUCGGAUUAGCUAGUUGGUGGGGUAAAGGCCUACCAAGGCGACGAUCUGUAGCGGGUCUGAGAGGAUGAUCCGCCACACUGGGACUGAGACACGGCCCAGACUCCUACGGGAGGCAGCAGUGGGGAAUAUUGGACAAUGGGCGGAAGCCUGAUCCAGCCAUGCCGCGUGUGUGAAGAAGGCCUUUUGGUUGUAAAGCACUUUAAGCGAGGAGGGGGCUACUUAGAUUAAUACUCUAGGAUAGUGGACGUUACUCGCAGAAUAAGCACCGGCUAACUCUGUGCCAGCCGCCGCAGUAAAAC
rnacentral:rRNA from 1 species